UACUCAGUAAUUUAUAGAUUCCAUAAGUACAUUAAAUGGGAUUCUGAUUAAUCCAGGUGAUUUAACAUUAGUUGCCCUAUCGGAAAGUCUUUUGCCAUCAGAACAGAGAAUUGGAAGAUACUACAAAAACUAGCAAUGUUGUCUACAAUAUGACUGCUAUUUCAAAGGGCAGAUUUCAGCUCAAGAGAUAAAUGGACUUAAAACAUGAGACAAAGGAGCUGUUGGGUCUGUCUUGGUGGUAUUGAAAGGCCCACUUCCUCUAGAAACCAUUGACCACAUGAUUUAUUGGUUUUCCAGAUCAUAGAUACAAGACUUGACUGUCAGAGGUGGGAAAGAAUGGAAAUAACUGAAAAUUUCAUCUCUGUUCUUGGCAAAAUAAAAACUCACCAGCACAAGAAGACCAAAAAAGCUUCUCUCUUGGACAGGUCUCUCUGCAGACAAAAGAAUUCUCUAAAAGCAUAGGCAUGAGCCUGGCUUUAAAUAAGUUGGUAUUUAGAUUCAUACUAACUUUAUACUUAAAACCAAAAAACUAAGCCAAACAUUUCUCAUAUGAAGGCUAAUGGGGCAGGAGGGGGAGUGUGCAUUGGCAGAAGCAAUUACCUGGAACUGACUUGUGAAGCAGUUUCUUAUCUAAAUUUAAACUGGAAAAUAAAAUAUAAAAAAAAAAUUACUCCUGAAAACAUCCUCAACAUGGCUUAAAAAUUCAUUGAACUCAGUCUGAAAUUACAGUCGUAUAAGAAAGCUGUUGAAACAGAUAGCAGAUGUGAAGUCCAGGGUCUGAAGCCAGGAUCAUAGGAGGGGCAUUGCAGGGUGGGGGCUUAAAGAAGAUGGAAGGAGAUGUAAGCAGAGGAGACAUACUGUAGACACAUAGAUUGCUGGUCGGGCAGGUGCUGGUGGGCACGAGGCACACACUUGUACACGGCAGCCUCGCAUGGCAUUAGCACAUGUAGUCCAGCACAUAGGCUGUGGGUAGUCUCAUAGGCCUCCACAGACUAGCCGGAAGAGGCGAAUGGUAAGGGCAUUUGCCCCUGCUCUCAAGGGAAUAUUUCUCCAAAACACACAAAAGUGACAUUCUUCCAUAAUAUAACAUUACAUCAUUGUUAAACUGCAGAUUCUUGAAUGUUCAAUGUCAACCAUUGUUAGGUUAUUGUACCUUGAAUGUCGGAUGUCAGCCAAGUUUUAACUGACUCAAACCAGAUACCUAUUAUUAGCACCAUGUUGUCCAAAUCCUAAUUUGCUCCAGACUGCCUUCUGUUUCCUACAAUAGGGUUAGAUUGCCUAAAUUUUUGAGAUAAUAAAAGUAUUAAAACAACAUUUGAAAAAGUUUAAAAACAAAAGGAGUGGCUAUAAAACAAUAGAAUACUAUAAGAUUUGCCUGUAUCAAAAGGAUUGAGGUUCAGUAUGGUGUUUUACUACACAAAUGCAGUCCAAACAAUCCAUUCAACUCUUGUGGGGCAAUACAGAGGGUUCAACUUAGAUGGACCUUUAUUUUAAUUGUGAGACAGUCUCUGGAUCAUUUUGCAAUAAUAUUUGGGAUUAUGUAACCUAGCCGCAUAUUAACAAUGAAUGUAUGUUAGCAAUGUAUCCCUUAGGACUUUCCGAGUGCUGAUUUUGAAGCACUGGAAAGCAGCAUAUAUUACACUGGCAGACAGUAGAUGCUUGAAAGUAGCCACCAAGCAGCCUCCUGCUGCUAGAUCCCAGUGCCAUCCCAUACCAGAGAUGCAAGCUUCAGCAAGUUACCCACGUUCCAUGGGUCUCAUCUUCACUCUGGGGUAACAAGUGAGAAUUUUAACCAACCCAUGAGUAUAACUCAAGGAAUUAUUCUAAAAUGAAGCAUGCAUGUAAAUGUUUAUGUCAUCGGGGUUUAUAAGGUAAGCACUUCAAGAUCGAGGAGUGAUCAUGGGGAAGGAUCAGGGCAUAUUGAGAAACAGCAACGUUUUUUAGAGCCUCUGUGGAGUCAGCUUGGCUAAGAGUGAAAGGGUUUGUGAAAUCCCACCCUGUCUCAGAAACACCUUACUUUAGGAAUGAGGAUAAGCUUCAACUAAGCAGACACAGUGGUAGAGCUCAAUCUUUGCCUUCCUCCUGAAAUCUGAAAUUAUGCUAGAAGCAGGUUUAAAUGCUGCAGGAAGUUUACUAGCUACACUUUGGAUCCUAGGUUGAAUGCUGGUUCUUUCUAAAAUUCUGUUGUGACAUAGUUUGUUAUGGUUUAUUUAAAUCUUGAAGACCCUAUUGACAUAGUUUGUUAUGGUUUAUUUAAAUCUUGAAGACCCUAUAGUCAUAUCUGAGUGGAUUACUGCUUUCAAAGGACUGGAGUCUAGCAAUCAUUCAUUUCUACAUUACUUCUAUUUUCUCUUAGUCCCCAAAACUAUCACUUUCAUACGUCAGUGUGCACCUUCAUUCGCUGUCCUUGGGAAUUCUUUUCAGGUGCCUCCAAAGGACAAGCUAAUUGUUUCCUUGCCCAUAAACACUUUUGCUCCUCUGAGAAAGAUUUUCUUCCUGCCUCUAGGGUUUCCACUGUACAACUUGGACCUUUAGGCAAGUGGAAAACUACAACCAACACAACCAGAGUUCUUGAUCAGAAGAGGAGUUAGAUGGGAGGCUGUGCAUAUCAGUGGAAGCUGUAUCCACGGAUGCUCCGGAAUGUUGCUGACAUCGACCUGUCAACCAGUGUUUUAGGACAGAGAGUCAGCAUGCCAAUAUGUGUUGGGGCUACUGCCAUGCAGUGCAUGGCUCAUGUGGAUGGCGAGCUGGCCACUGUCAGAGCCUGUCAGACCAUGGGAACUGGCAUGAUGCUGAGUUCUUGGGCUACCUCCUCAAUAGAAGAAGUGGCAGAGGCUGGCCCUGAGGCACUUCGCUGGAUGCAACUGUACAUCUACAAAGACCGCGAGGUCAGCAGACAGUUAGUGAAGCGAGCUGAGAAGAUGGGUUACAAGGCCAUAUUUGUGACCGUGGACACACCUUACCUGGGCAACCGCUUUGAUGACGUUCGUAAUAGGUUCAAGCUGCCACCACAACUCAGGAUGAAAAACUUUGAAACCAAUGAUUUGGCAUUUUCUCCUAAGGGGAAUUUUGGAGAUAACAGUGGACUUGCUGAAUAUGUGGCACAAGCCAUAGACCCAUCUCUCAGCUGGGAUGACAUUAAAUGGCUCAGACGAUUGACAUCGCUGCCUAUUGUUGUAAAGGGCAUUUUGAGAGGAGAUGAUGCUAGGGAAGCUGUUAAACAUGGUGUGGAUGGGAUCUUGGUGUCCAAUCACGGGGCCCGACAACUGGAUGGAGUGCCAGCUACUAUUGAUGCCCUGCCAGAAAUCGUCGAGGCUGUGGAAGGGAAGGUGGAAGUCUUCCUGGAUGGGGGUGUAAGGAAAGGCACUGAUGUUCUCAAAGCUCUGGCCCUGGGAGCCAAGGCUGUGUUUGUGGGGAGACCCAUCAUCUGGGGUUUGGCUUUCCAGGGAGAAAAAGGUGUUCAAGAUGUCCUUGAGAUACUGAAGGCAGAAUUCCGGCUGGCCAUGGCUCUGAGCGGGUGCCAGAAUGUGAAAGUCAUCGACAAGACAUUGAUGGUCAAUGACGAUGACAGAGAGGCUUUAUUUCAACCCCCUGCUAUUUCACAUGCACAUUACUGUGUGAAACAUGUAGAAGAUGGCAAGAUACUGUGCAGGCAGCAUUGGUGGCCUGCAUAGCAGUACCCCCAGGUGCUAAAAGAGUCCAACAGAAGCCUGCCUCACAUGAGUACAGCUGUCCAGAUGACCUGUAGAUCUGUUGUGUAGCUAACUGAUAGCAUCAGUUCAUAUGAUCUUAGUUGUAAGAAACACUUGAUCACAAUGGCUGGGAAAUGAAGCCUUUCCUUGUUUUACAAGAUAAGAAGGAAAAAAGUAGUUAGAGAGAUGAGGUAGAAUUUCAAAAUGACAUGUAAUCUAGUAAUCACUGCUCAUAUAACAUGAGGAGUGGUGACCUUUACCUUUAUUUUAUUAUAUUUUUUUGGCUUUUAGAGACAGGGUUUCUCUGUGGCUUUGGAGGUUGUCCCGGAACUAGCUCUUGUAGACUAGGCUGGUAUUGAAUCUACAGAGAUCCACCUGCCUCUACCUCCCAAGUGCUGGGAUUAAAGGUGUGCACCACCACCACCCAGCCCUUUAUCUUAUCCUUAAUGACUAUAUAGCUGAAAGAGGCCUGGUUUGUCUUAACAAUUACAGUGGCUUAGAGGCACUUAGGCAAAGGGGACACCAAGAGAGUUCCUUUUAAGAGAGAAGGAAAAUACUUCCUUGAAUUUCCAUUUCACCAAGUUUCUGCUUAUGCAGCGGAAGUGCUUAUGUGUGAAAGUGUUUUAGGAAAGGGCUGUUAGGCACAGGGAGUAAACAUAUGGUGCUGGAGCUGUAGGGCUGUGCCUCAGAGAGUAGUUUUCAGAGAAGAACUCACAAAUCCACAGCCUUUAGACAUGACACAGAGGUUCUUAUGUAGAGGAGAUGAGACAGUCAACUAUAGAUACUGUGGCUACUAAGGGAAUGAUAGGGAGGGAGCUUGCCUAUUUUAGAGAAUAACAUUCUCCCUUGGAAAGGCAUAAAUGGACAGACUAUUUCUUAAAUGAAGCUAGGUGGCAACUGAGCAAGUAUCCAGUGAUUAUCUGCAGAAUUGUAGUCUAGGGUUUUUCUAGGCUCAGAAACUAUAAAAACAGCUACUAUGACAUCAGUAUUUCUGUAUAUCCUGUGGGUGGCCAUUUAUCACGUAGUCAUCUUUCUAAUAGGAAUGACUCAAAGGUCCAGUUGUGAACAGUUGGGGAACUUGUACAUACCACUUCACCUUUGGUUAUAGUGUUCUUUAAAAUACUGGUAAAAGCAUCACCCAGUUACUCAGAACAACUUAUGUCUUAUUUACAUUACUUUUGUAGAUGAGAUUUCUUACAUCGAUUAAAUUUCAGAGGUCUAUUCUUCUUAUUUUAGUAAUGGUUCAUUUGUCCUACUGUGUCUUCCAGGAAAAGCUCUAGUUAUGCCUCAAAAAGCAAGAACAGUGACCUAUCACACUGUCUGGUGCUGCUGACAUUCAUCUCACCAUGUGGCUCUCCUGAAUGCACUCUUCAUCUCAAAGCUAAGCCAGAAACUUUCAUCAUCUUCCUUUAGGGAGACCCCAUAGUGAGGGACUGCCUGCUACAGUCCAAACCUGUGUCUUUUGGCCUUGCUCGUAGUCCAGGUUAUCUUUUGUUUGUCUCCUGGCAUUCUUAAAACUCAACAGUUUUUGAUGGUGAAUAAUGUUAUCCUUUUAUAUCAUCUUACUAAUUUCCUUUGUGCAGCCAUUUUCAUCCCCUGAAAACACUGAUAGACCAGCACACAGUGGAUUUUCAGUGACUCUCUCUUACAGGAUUUAAGUAAAAAUGAAAUGUAAGGUGAAGAGAGUAUUAACUAGCAGGAGUAACAGCUUUCAUGUCACUGAGUGAGACAGGUAUUAGCUAAUGUGUUGUUUAAAACUUCUGAUUAUCCCAAUAUUUGACAUUUUACCCCACUUUUAUCUCAUUUAGAAGAAUAGGUUUCUGUUACUAACUCAAACGCAUAGUGUUGAUUUGCUCAUUUUUUAGAGGUGAUUAAGAUCACAAGCUGCUAGAAGCCACCAGGGGAGUUCGGAUUCCGUGUCCUGUUUGAGGGGCCUCUCAAGGCUCACUUGCCAGUUAUUUGGGGGUGAUCUGUUCUAGCAGGAACUCUCAGUUUCCCAGUUUCUCAUUCUUAGAAAGAUGAAUCUUGCAUACCAUGUGAAAAGCAUCUAACUGUAAGAGUGUCUGGGGUGUGAGUUGUUGCAGUCCCAAGGAUUAGUUACUGAAAGCCUGGCUGCUAUAUGUGAUACCUGGACUCUUUCUUAAUAAGCCCUGAUAAUUGCCCUGACAACAUUAUGUAUCAUGGAAGACCACAUAUGUAUCAAUACCCACCCCAAAAAAACCAACGUGCAUUCUUAUUUCAUAGUGGAUUCACACACUUACCUUGAUACUGUCUGUCCCAGAAGUGAAUAUUCCAGCUAGAGGCACAGCAGGUCCCAAGGGCCGUCCAUCUCUGCAAGAAGGGUGUAAUCCCAUCUGCAUAUACACUAGAGACAUUUUAACAUACUCUUAUGGGAUACACUUGAGAUAUGUCCAGGAAGAAUCAACUUGUAUCCAAUGUGGAGGUCAUUGUGCAUGAGGAUUUCAAACUUGACAAUGAAUUCAGUUAUUUUCAUUUAAAACUGAAAAUAAGAUGGUUACCAUUGCCUGGGAUGAAGUCCUUUGUACUUCUUGCAUACUCUUUUCUUUAUUAUUAUUAAUAUUAAGUAUUAUAUUUUUGGUAAGGAAAAGGACCCAGUAGAGUCUAAAAUUAGACACAUAGAAAAUAAGACUCACCAAAGAUAAUAGAGGCUUUUGUAAUUUUGAAAAAGUAUUAAGUUGUAACAUGACUUUGAAAGCUAGAGUUUCCAACCUGUAUGGCUUACUCAUACUUGGAAAUUUCUUGUCAAAUCAAUAGUUUUUGAAGUUUACUAUCUCAACAGUGAAAGGAAACAGAGGCACCUAGUUCUGACCCCAAGUUUUUUCUUAGUACCUAGGCACAAUAGGGCGAGCUCCAGGCAAGUUAAGUUCUGAACUCCCUGCUUCCUGUCUUUUGUGAGUUCUCAAUUUGACACUUAAGCAUACUUCAGUGUGGACUUUUAUGUGGGAAUGCCUUUGAUAUUUUUCCACUCCUGUCUAAUGCCAGCUACAAAAAAGAAAAAUAGGAUAUGGCUCUAACCACAUGUAAUAUAUUUAAGAUUUAUUUAUUUAAUUAUUAUAUUUCUUUAUCUUGAACCUGAGUGCUACACUAGUGAUUUUGGAAGACUUUUCUUUUAGAGUCACUCUGAGGGGCAGUCUUAGGAAAAAGAAUCCUCCCAGUCUCUGAGAAUUCCACAGGUCACAGGAAACAAUCCCUGUAUGUUCUAGGGUAACAACCUGUACUUGAAUGGAGGCUGCAGUUGUGGAGUUUAGGCUUGAGAGACUCAAAGAGUGUCGGGUCCAUUUUACAGAGUGACAUGAGCAAUGAGCAACCCUACCAAAUGCACACCUCCUAAUGGGAUGAACAUGUAGGGGAGCUCAAUGGGAUGAUUUACUGCUUUAGUAAAUUUUUCUCUUGAGCAAUGAUCAUCAGUGGAUCACCAGUUAACUAUGAGUAAUAGGCCAUUGGAUUUGCAGCCUUCUUGCUUAAUAUGGUCUGUUCAGUUGCCUUGAUUGGGAAAAGUUCCUUUUUCCACUUGAAUGAGUGGGGCAUGUCUGGUGGGGGAAUGGAUACACAGGCCUCAGUUAGAAUGAUGGAAAAGCAAAUAGCAGGCAAGAAUGAGUAACAGUGAUUAAAAGAGCUAAGCAACAGAGUCAACCUUGUUCCCUGUGACUACAGAGUGUGAUGCAUAUAUGAGGAAGAAACAGUUGAAAUUACUGUUUGGGAAAUAGAUCAACAAUGUAUCAGUUAUGUUUUAGUGAUCCAAUGUGUAAAUAAUAUUUAAGCUUCCGUCUAAUAUAUGCAAUCCUACCUAUAAUUCCCCACAGAAACUUGACAACCCACCUGCUCUGAAGGGCUCUAUUGUAUUAUUCUGAUGGUGUUUUAUUUAGAUCCACGAUUUUAACAUGUGAACCCCACUUCCAUAUUACCAUACAACUGUCAUAUUAAACUGCUCAAUGGAAAACAUGCUCUGUAUUUUAUUGGCACACAUUGAGCCAAUGCAGUUUGGGAGUUUAUGAACAGCUUGUUAAAUGAAGAUGUCCUGGUACAGUGUUAAAGCACAAUUUUCAAAUACAGAAACAUAAAACAAUGCAUGUGACUUUAUUGUUAUUAUUAUUAUUGUUACUUAGCAUAGUAAGUGAAAGAAGCACUGAAAUGUAGACAUUGGUGUAACUGAGAUUCUGAGUUUGUGUAAUUCUCUGCAUGACCGCAGUUUGCGUCUCUUCAUUAGUUUAUCCAUUCAUGAAUGUAUUCAGUGUUUUCCUGGGUUGUUAUAAGGUGCUAUGAGGGAGGAGCAUGUAUAGGUAAAUGUGAGACUGAAACUGCCUGUCUGAGCUUAGUAUUUAUCUGGAGAGUGGAAGGCACUGAAGUAACUUCAGGUCACUUGGAAAAUGCCUACAAGGUCUGCACAAAUCUCUCUAUGUGGAGAGGCAUGAAUUGGUCCAGAAAGUUUCCUUGGCCUUUUCUUUCUGGCUAAGAAACUAAUCAGGAAGCCCAAGGAUGGCAAUUGGGGAGUUUCUGUUCUGCCUAGAGAGUAUGAAAAGGUUCAGAGAGUAGGAAGAAGCAGGCGUAUUUUUGGUAUCUGGAAGUGGGAAUGCAACCAUGGGUACCAAGAAGGGCUGAGACAAUAAGAUGAAGCUGGAGAUAGAAGAUGGAGAGUUAACUGAUAACUAUGAAAAGAGGAGUAAGGAGCUCUCUCUGAAUUUUACAUAAAACUGAGCUAAUAACCAUUAUACUUAGGAUCACUAUAGAAAAAUAUAAUCUAUAAUGGGAGUUUUGCUAAAAUGUUGCUACAGCAGAAAUCCAGGAGAGGGUCAAGCCCUUGCUGGUUUUCUGUUUUGAGUAGUCAAAAAGCUUGUUUACAGCAGAUGAGGUCUUUGUCCUCCUUCAGAAUUCUCCCCAACAUGGUCUCCUUUCUCUCAUUCCUGAAUUUGUAUCUUCCUUUUCCUCCAUCUGUGUCUUCUGGUCUCUCCCCAUUUUCUCUUUGUGACCCUAUUUCUGUUAAAUUGACUGGUCUGGGAAACACCUGUUGCCUGGAUAAAUCCAGCGAUCCCUUGAGUCGAAUCAGAGUGGCCCAGGCCUGUACUCUAAUUCUCACAGCAGUGCUGGACAAACAGUGAUACAUUCUUAGUCUUUGAUUCUUAUUUUAUGAUCAACUGCCAGAGAACCAUGACAUCAUCCUAAGUAAGAUAAAAUACAACUGCCCAGCUUACUGCUUUAUAAUUAUGAUACCUGAGUCUAGUUUUCUUAAACUUCUCAAGACUGGAAAGCUUUUGGUCCCAAUUUUCAAUGUAUUUCUAGGUCACCUCCCAGGAUGAAUUAUUUCCACAGAUGGCUAAUUUGGUAAGCUUAUCCCAACUUGUGCUAAUUUCAUUCUAGGGGAUGGAUACUUUCUGAACAUAUUUUGUUUUUGUUAGUGAGUAGAGGAGUCUUCCUGUGUCACUUCUAAUUGUUGGCAUCUUGUCUGUGGAACUGAAAAGGCUACCUCUUCCUUCUGACUGCUGGGACUAAAGGUGUGCCCCACCACCGUCCAGCUUUUCCCUGGACAGACUGCAGAAACUGUGCAGCCAACUCGGCGACAGGACCAAAGUGCAAAAGCCACGGGCUGUACAGGCAGCCUCAUUAAGGUUGCAGGGACCUACCCAAGCACACCCUUGAAGGCGAGGUUGCAAUUAUAUCACUAGACCCAAGAUAAAUGAUAAAUGGGUGUUUAUUGGGGAACAAUUACACAGAAAAAUACAAAGAACUACCUGAGUGUUUCUCUGCUCUUCCUACCAGAUCCUAACAGAAAGAGCACAAAGGAAAGCCAGACCUCAAGCUCCUCUCUUUCUGCUUCCUUCUAUCCGAAGUCACACCCAUAGGGGUGUGGCCACUGUUUAAGGUCAACAGACCAGAGCCUACAUCUAAUAAUUGUUUUUUUUCUAUUUUUAUGUAUGUGGUGGUCAGAGGUCUGAACUAAUGGUCUUCUUUAGUCACCCUCUGGCUUGAUAAUUCCAGACAGAUUGUCUCAGGGAACCUGAAGCUCAUUGGUUUGGCUAGACUGGCCAGUAAGACCAAGGGAUCCUUUGUCUCCACAUGCUGAUGCUGGAAUGGCAGGCUCACACUGUUCCUGUUAAGCUUUUCUAUGAUUGUACUCAUGUGGUCAGCAUAGUACCAUCUGGCCUAGCUCCCUUCCCAGCCUCCACCUUAGUUUUCAUAGCCCCAUUGGAAAUUCCAGUCCAUUUACACAGAGUAGUUCUCUCUGUGUUCCCAAGGUGAUGUGUAUCCCAAUGAAGACAAAUUGUGUUAAUGUGUGGAAUGAUCACUAAUCAACCCAUCCUAAUUUAGUGUUUUAUUCAAAGUGGGGGAUUAUUAACCAAAGUGAGUCUCAAAUUGCAUAAAAAUGAAAUGCAACGUUAAAGGAAUAAUAAUAGACAAUUUGACAGGAAGAUGUUAGAUCCCUUAAUACCUACUGUACUUAAAACAAAAUCAUUAUUACUUAUGCUGUUAGGUGAGAAUAAUUUUGGGCUAGUCUAAAAGCAGUGGCCUCAUGGUAUCACAGUUUGGAAGUAGCUGGCCUUUCAUAGCUAAUCUGGACUCAGUUUGCACAUCCAUGAAAUAAGAAAGCUAGGCCAGACUGGAAUUGGGAUAAAGGUGAGAAUGAGAAAAAGUAAGCCCGAUGUCAGUGACCUGAAAUUGGUAUGCAAAUUGAACAAUUCGCAGUAUAACAAUAAACACAAGUCAAACUACACCAAACUACAGAAACAUAGCUUUUCAGAGUGCAGAGUGGCGUAUGGUAAUAAAGUUCCUUUUUUUUUUUAACCACUAGCACCCACAGUCCUCUUUAUUUCUCAGAGAUAAUUAGGGCUCAUUUCUUGUAUAGCUAUCAAAAUGUUUUUAGGGUAGUGUGCUAGUCAAAGUUCUGCUGGUUUCAGUCUACAAGAAUAAACACUGACUAAAGCCACAAUAAAAUAUUGACUGGAACGAUGUUGGGGAUAUUUUGCUGAACUAGAUCAGGAUUAAGCCCCAAAGUCUUUGGAAGGGGGACUAAAGGAAGGUCUCCAGGCAUCCCAGAAGCUGCUAAAGUAAUUGGGCUGCAGACUUCACACCUCUGCUAUUUUGGAUUUGAUUCAUUCUGAGUGUGAAUGGCCAAGGUAGACAGGUUCAGUGGACUGUGUUGUGUCUGAGUGAGCAGGGUGUGGAUGAAAAAAAGUGAAAUAAAAAGAAAAGGAAAGGACAUGCCUACCCCUAGGUAUGGAUGAGGAGAAGGUUUAUUGUAGAUAAAAUGGAGAGCAUAGCCAGAGACAGAGACACCUGGGUGAGUCCAGUGUGGACAUGACCAAUUGAGCUGGAGCAUGUGAAGAGAAGGGGAGAGGAAGAGAGAUGGGAGAGACGGAAAAGGGGUGUAGCAUCCAGCAGGCCAAAAAAGAGUGGGGCAGGUAACCAAAAUGUCUGGAUUAUAUAGGUAAGAACCUCUGGGGGAAGGGCAGCCCAGACUCUGGGCUGGAGAAUUCAGGGUAGAGGGUAGAGUGUACCAGCCAGGUGGACCCUGUAACAGACAGGGAGUGAGGGAUGCCAGGAGAACCUGGUGGUCAGGUAUGCUUUGAUAUGUUAACUGGGAACCUCAAACUUUUGUCUUGUGUUUGAAACUUAAAAUGGUGAAGAGGUGAUAAGAUAGACAUCUCAUAGCAUGGAGAUCUGAGUACCUUUGUUGCACAGGAUGAAGGGUCCCCUGUGGAUAGUUAAGCCAAGAAGGAUAUGUUAUGCAUAAACAUAUCCCUGUUUAUACACAGACAAACACAUGCAUACUCUAAGUACUUGAUUUUGAGUAAAAGGUAAAAAUGACUUUCAGAUUGUAGUAUACUUACGUGUGGGUAUGUUCAUGGAGGUGCAGGUGCCUGAGGAAGUCUUUGGCUUUAGAUUCCCUGGAACUGGAGUAACAGGAUUUGGUGGGCCACCCCAAGUGGGCGCUGAACCAAACCCAGGUCCUCUUGAAAAGUAGUGCAUGUUAUUCUUUUUUUCUAGGCAGGCUUUUUAUGUGUAACCAUGGCUCUCCUAGAACUCACUCUGUAGAUCAGGCUGGCCAUGGACUUGCAGAGAUCUGCCUUAUGAGUGCUGGCAUUAAAGACAUGCACCCCCACUGUCUAGCUCAGUGUUUCAUAUAUAUAUAUAUAUAUAUUUUUGGUAAAGAUUAUUUUUAAAUUCAUAGGUAACACUGGAUGCUUGUAUCAUAUACAACAUGAUGUUCUGAGGUCUAUAAACAAGUUAGACUAAUUUAGUUCAGCUAAUGAACAAAUGCAUCAGCUCACACUACACUGUGGUAAAAGCGUAUAAAAUCUCUCUCUAAGUUUCUCAACAAUAUAGCACAGAUGUUCCUUAAUAUAGAGAUAGUGCUGUUUCCAUAGAAACACAUAAGGAGGUAGAAAUGCUUUCUCUAGUUCAUCCUAGCCUGUCUUAGAUGUUCUCAGAGCACUUGCACUAGUCUACAGUGAGGAAAAAUCCAUUAGUAUGAAGUCUGGUUCAUAUCAAGUACUGCAUAUUAUAUGUAAUCCCUGUGCACUGCACUGUAAGUGGAAAGCAACCUGAUUGUAUUGAUAUUCACAAUAAAAGUACAAUUAAUGCAUAUUUAAAUUCAGUUUUUUACUUAGUUGGUAUAGCUUUUGGUAGAUUUUCAUUCUUUUUGUGGGCUAAGAGUCUUUGGUUGAGCAUAUACACUACAUUUUCUUUGUUUAAUGUACCCAUCGAGAGCCAUGUAGGCUAGCUUGUAUUUUAACUAUUAUGUGUAGUGAUGCUAUGAAAAAGGGAAUUCAGAUAUCUCUUUGACAUGCUGAUUGCCUUUCCUUUGGAUAGACACACAUUGCUAGAUCACGUAGUUAUUCUACUUUCAAACUGCAGAAGCCCAUACUAUUUGCCAUCACAAAUCUUGAACUUUGUAUGGGCAUGAACAGUGAAGUGAGUAAGCAGCUUCUAUGUUCUAUGUUUUUGCCAGCUCCUAUCUUAUGUCUUUUUGAGUUCUAGUCAGGCAAGCUGGGGUGUGGAGGUAUUUAUUGUGGUAUUGAGUUGUAUUCCUAUGGUGACUGGCAAUAUGGAGCACUUUCCGCAUACUUGUAGGUCAUUUCUAUAUCUCUUUUUGAGUAAUGGUCAUCCAAGCCCAUUUUAGAACCUUCUUUCACAAUGGAGUUGUUGAAUUUAUUACUCAGUCACACCACGUCUGUAUCUUUGCUGUAUCAGGGACAUUGUGAGUCUAAGGCCUUGAGUCUAGAACAGUUUAAUUCAUUAAAUCCAGCCAAAGUUUCUAUUAAAUCUUUAAAGUGUUGGUCUUCUAGCUUAAAUAACUUGAAAUAACCAACAUAUUGAGAAAACAUGAUGGAAAGAAGAGUUUUAAGACAUUAACUAUCACAUAAUACAGUGUUAUAGACAGAUGGGAAAUGUAAUCAGAAGAACUGUAAUUGUCCAGCUUGCUUAUGACAUUGGAGAGUUUAAAGGCCAUGACUAAGGGAGAGCCUAAGUGGAGCUUACUAGACACUGUGAGUAGGGGAGGCCAAGGUGGUCAAAGGACAAAGUACUGUGGAAGAGAGGCAUGUGUCCUUGGCAGUCAUUCACAUGAAUCCAUGUGGUGUCUUGAUUUAUACUGAACUCCUCAUAGUCUACUAAAUACAUAAUUCUUUACAGUGUUUCAUUAGCAUUCAGGACUUUUAUCUGGAAAAGCCUUUGGAAUGCAAUGCAUUUUUUCCUUUUCAUUUCUGCUUUAGUAUUCGUAAGCUGUUCUCAAGAUGGGUAAGAAUGAUUCCUUAUUCUUGCUCAAUUUGACAGCUGCUUCAAGGUCUACAGAACUUUGGAUCUUCAGUUCUGUCGUCAGGAUGGUCUGAGCACUUUGUUUAACCAUUUGUGUGGAGAAUCCAAGAAGUAUCAGGCCUUUUUUUCUCUCGCCACAAAACCAGCUUGCCGUCUAAAAUAGUUUAGAGGAGGUUUUUCCAUCACAAAAGCAAAUGAAAAGGAAAGAAUAAGAACAAGAGAAUUCUCUGAUUGAUUAUUUUAAUCUAUUAGCAAAAACUAAUUUAGUACUGCAAAUAAGCAUAGGAUUAAGUAGGAGAGAUGAAAAGUGCUUAGCGGUCAUUCUUAUUUUUCUAUACAUGUCUGUAUCCUGGAUACUCAGAGAGAGCCCUGUGGACUGGCAACAGGAGCAUCUACUGGGAGCCUGUUAGAAACACAGAAUCUCUGUUCCCACACAAGGCUCAAAAUUUGCAUUUAACAAGAGCCCCAGGUAACUCCUAUGUGUGUUGAGUGUUGACCACGGAUGACAUGCAGAGCUUUCUUUCUUUUUAAUGCCCAUGGAGCUAUAGAAUUUCUCUGAUGAUGUGAAUAAAACAAGACCCCCCUCCCCUUCCUAUAAAAACAGAAAUGGAAGGAUCUGAAUGCAUCAGUCCAGAUGGCUAAGAGAGGAGUUCUUUUCUACUGCUGUAGUGGCUCCCGAACACGCGCCAAGUCUUCAAGGGGUCAGAUGUGCAUUGGCACCUCAUGCUGAGGUUAUUUAUUAAUUUGUGUUUUACAAGAGGCAGAAGAAGGAGAUUCUUCGCUCAUGUUAGAUUACACUUGUUGUUUCUGGUGAAAAAUAAUUUUCCCUUUGGAAAAGUGUGCUUGCUUCCUAGAAAAUCAAGGAGACGAUGAAGGGCCUCAUUUCAGUUAAGAGCACAAGAUGGACGGAAAUAUUGUAUUUUCCUUCCUGGUCUUUGGUUGGAAUUGACAUCUAUGCUUUGGGGACUGGCUGUGUAUAAGCCUGUUGCCCUUUAUAUUUAUGGCAUUGUCAACUAAAUUAAUUCUGCCUGUUUAUUAAUUUUAAAUUUUGGCAACCAUGUUGACUUAAGAGUGCUGUAUAAUUUCUGGGAAUAGCAAAGAGAUAACAAUGGCAUUUGUCUUCAGCUUUUAAGAUAUGGACUGAGAAUGCGUAGAAAUACUAAGACUUGACUCACAUUUCAGGCUGAGGUGGUCACCAGGGCUGCCACAAAAAGAGAGGAGGGGGAAGCAAGAUUUCUUUUAUCCCAAAACACACAGUCCCAAUCUCUUGGAGGCACAGAUGACAAACAACAAUGAAGCAAGUAAUAACGCUUUAAUGGGUUCACUGGCCAUGGGCAGUGAGCAAGGGGUUCUCUGACUUAGAGGGAAGAUGAUAGACUUCUCCGGAAUUGGCCAAGGAAGAGAAGUCAGAAAAGAACAUGCUGCUGGAUCUUCCUAAAUUGGUUUUUUUAAAAACUUUUCUGCAUGCUUGAAAUGUCCUGAGACAAUUUUAUAUAUCAUGUUUUUAUGUUAUCACAUAUUAAUGGAAAUUUUCAAAAAUGAUCACAAAGAUGAUAGCAAGUAUAUGGCAGAAUGUUGAUAGGGAGGGGGUAGAUAAUGGGUAUCAAAACACAGACGGUCACUAAGUUGUUUUGUUACAUAGUAAUCUAGGACAGAUGUGGUAGAGACAGUUAAUUAUACAUUUCAAGAUUACUAUAAGAGCAGGGUUCAAAGGUUAGCAACACACAGAAAUGAUUUGACUUGAGGAGGCAGAGACAGUUAUUAUCCUUAUUAGAAUAUUACACACUGUACACAUGUGCCCAGUUACAAUACUACCCACAAAUAAGUAAAGAUAAGGGCAACUGAAGAUAAAAUGGAAAAAAAUCCUACCACAUGCAACAUCUCUUUAGAAUAGCUGCAAGCCCUGGGCUCUAUUGUAGGUACUGUAAGAACAGCUUCAAGAGAGGUGGACAAGUUCUACACAUACAAACUAGAUUAAACAGAAAAUUGCACUCAAAAUGACCAGUUAAUGAAAUCGAUAGAGGGGUUUUUGAUAAGAAGAAAAUAAAAUGGAAUAAUGUAUAUAUUAUUAAUACUAGAGUGGCUACACUCUAAUUUUUAAGAAAUACCAGAAAACAAAAUUUAUUGUACAAAUCUAAACUAAGAAAAUGAUGUAUGGAUUUUCAAGAUAACUGUGAAACCUAAAAAUGGGGAUUGGUGUCUUUUUGAGGAGUUUUUAUUAUUUUUUAUGCAAUUAAAAAAUCAUAUACAACAGUUAUUAUUUUAUUGUAUACAUUAAUAAGUAUUGAUUUUGUCUGAAGACACAGUGGCUGUCUAUUUUUUAAAUGUAACACAGUAUUCUAGAGUGGGUUAUUAUGCAUGUGACUUAAAGUCAUUGGAAGAUAAUUGAAAGAUAAUUUAUAUAUUAUUCAAGGAGUUAUCCUAUCUGCAUGCAAAACAAAUUGUGAAUUUAUGAGCUUUCUCAUUUUGUUAUAAACUCUAGCACACACACCAUGUUAUUGAUAAGUAAGUGCUUCUCAAUUAUUUUAAUUUUAUCAAUGCAUUUGACAACAUUUUGGCACAAUCUUCUUGUUUAGUGGAUCAAACAGUGGGGAUGUUUAUAUUUGGGGCCUUAAACUCUUGCUAAUGUACUAUGAAUAGUUUUGAUAGAAUUUAAGAGAUGAAGUGGAUAGAUAGGAUUCACAGUUAAAUCUUUAAGUGACAAAGGAAAGGAGACAUAAACAACAGAAGUUUGAAAAAAGGUAAAAAUUAUUCUAUUUUCUUAAAUACUUAACAUACAUACACAGGCAAUAUACACAUUUAUAUAGUAUAUACACAUACACACUAUAUAUGUGUAUCUAUACAUAUAUGUGUGUGUAGUAAUAAUGAAAGAUGUCAUGGAUUUAGAAGGGAGGCACUGGAGUGAAGGAGGAUGGCAGAGAGUGAUGAAGGAUACAGUGGUUGCGUUUGAAGAACACAAAAAUAAAAUAACAAUUUAAAACCAAACAACAAAAAAUGACAAAAUCAAUACUAAAGAUGAUCUCAACUACCAGAGACACACUGGGCAGAAACCAAUGAAAUGACAUAAAGCAGACUAAGUUUCGGGUUCUGUUUAGGUUCAGAAGGCAGCUGCCUGAGAGUGAGCUGGCUUGGCCACAGCGCAGAUGGCAAAACUUUGGGAUUUCCACUUGAUGACAGCCAUAACAUUAGCCAAUAGCAUGAUGUGGCUGUUAGAAAAGUAGCCUAGCACAGUCUUAGGUUGCAUUUGUGAAAUAUUGCAUCUAGCAUAAUGAAAGCAAUAGAAAAGACAGAUGAACUAAAUCCUGUGCUAGAGAAAUGACCUCAAGAAUGAUGCUGUAAAUCUCUUGUCCUGUGUGUCAGUCCUUCUCUAACUGGAGGACACUCAGCUGAAGGAACACUGAAUUCCCAAUAUUAUCUCUUGUGGAAAACUGGGAGGCACAGGGUGAAAGCUUUCCUGAGUGAGAAAAGACCAGGGAUGAAUUUGCAGAGGGCCCCUCUGGUUAAAAGCCAGUCAGUGCUAGCUAGAAUGUUGAUUUGAAGGCAGACAGCAAGAAAUUUACUCUGACAUUCUGAGCAUAGUAGCAUAUUUAUCCCUGUGUGUGUGUGAGUAUAUGCACACGCCCGCACAUGCACUUGCGCGUGAGGACGCGCACACACGCACACACACACUUGCAGGGUAUCUUUUUAUUUUAGUCAAUCUAUAAAGUUCAUUUCACAGUGAAAACAUGAAUCUGACCUUAUUUCAGUUAUUUAUCAUGAAUAACAAAAUGUCCCAAAUGUAUAAGUUUAAAACAAUAUUAACAAUAUUAAAGCUCAUGCUUUAAAGAGUCAGGAAUUCAGAGGGCUUUCCUGGAAUAUUCCUACUUGAAGUGUCUGACACCUUUUAGUUAUGAAAUGCUGCCCUGUCAAGGCCUCACUAGGUUGGAUGUCCAAGGUGGUUCUGUUGCCUGGCCACACUUAGCUGGAUGCUCUGCUGCCAGUCACAGCAAGGACUUGUGGUCUCUUCAUUAUCCUCAGCUUACCAUGAUUGUUUCCAAGCUGUGGGACUGUUAGCUCAGGAAUAGGAAAGCAAAUCAGAGAAGCCAUGGGAGCCCAUAUGAUGCAGUCUCAGUAGCACAUUGUCCCUUUCCCCACAAGGCUGUAAUUUUGCAAGUGACUCAGAUGUCUUGAUAGAUACAUAGUUUCUAGUUUUGACUGAUUGUAUGUACAAAAUUUCUAGACACUGAAAAGAAAAUGUUUAUAGGGUGAUUACACACUAAAGUGCAUUUCACAAUGAAAACUGCAAACUUUUUUUAGAAGAAAAAAUGUUGUGGUGAAUAAGUUGUGUCUUAAAGAGAACCCACUAAGUUACAGAAAAGGAGGCUUUCAAAUGCCAAAACUUCUAAACAAUAAUGCUUUAAAUCUAAAACAUUCACAGUUUCAUUAAUCAUUGAAGAGCAAAUCAUAUAACUUUAACCAUUUUAGCUUUGCACAUAAUACUAUGUAGCAGACAGUUACUUGAGAAGAUGGUGCAAAAUAUGAUCACAACAUCAGGGCCAUUUGCCCAGUUGCUCAAGUAGUAUCUUAGCAAGUGUUCCUGGGAAGGGUCAGAUAUCUGGUGAACUGGACACAGUGACAUGCAGUGCAACCCCAAAUCCAGGAUUUGGGAACUGAGGCAGGAGAUUAAGCCCCCUCUCUCUCUCACACACACAGGUAUAACAAGUUAGUAAAAAAAAUAAAACUUUCUUUUACCUACCAAGGAAAGAUUCAAUAAAUGUUUGAAAAUGAAAACACAACAACAACAAACCUACAACUGAUACUUCCUAAAUAACCUCCAAUGUGGACACCCUGAUUUUGUAAAUUGCACUGGCUGAUUGUAAGAUUUUUACAGGAAAUACAGAAUUUUAAUAUUUCCCUUUGCACAUUUUGAACUAAUGUUAGAAUUUUCUUGAAAUUACUCCUUGAGCUAUGACAUAACGACAUUUUAAUUUGACUGAAGCAUGUGGUAUACAUUGUAAGAAAUUAACCAUUACAGUUGUGAAUUCUCUGAAGAUGACGGAAGUUAUGAAUCUGACUGCAUAUGUGAAGCUGUUAAACAGGCAGGGUGAUAACUCAGGGGCAAUCAGCUGCAGGGAGCAUGUAGGGAGGCAUGCAUAUACUCAACAAACAUUUCAGGGUUUCUAUGCAAUUAUUGAGUAUAAACAGAUAUUGAAAAUGCAAAAAAAUUUCCUCACUAUGCUUGGUUACAUACUUGGGAUGUUGUAUCUUCUAGGUGUAUGGAGUUUUGCAGUUUCAGACAGAGACCCAAGCAGUGUCUCAGUCCCAGCAGGCAUUAGAGGACAUGUGCAGCUUCACUUCAGCUAUUCUAUGUCCUGUACAUUCGAAAAGCCUCGGUGCAGCCUUAAUUAUUAUCCUCAUUUUUUUUACUAGACUUUGGAGUACUUUUCGGGUUCUCCUGAUAACUGGUUCUACAUGUACCUUAGCUCAGCAAUUCUCAACCUUCCUAAAACUGUGACGCUUUAACACAAAUCCUCAUGUUGUGGUGAUCCCCAACCAAAAAAGUAUUUUUGUUGCUCCAUCAUACCUAUAAUCUUACUACUCCUUUAAAUCAUAAUAUAAAUGUGAUAUAAAUACUACCCCUGUGAAAGGGUGGUUUCAUCUUCAAUGGGGUUGCAGCCCACAGGUUGGGAACCACUGCCUUAGCCAUUUCUGUUACAAGGACUAGAUUUUAACCUUUCUUUCUGCUUCAUGAUAGUGUCUGUCCUCUGACCCACCCUGGUAUCUCCUGCUGUCACCUCAAAGAUACCUCCCUUCUCCCCAUGCUAAUUGCAUUUUUCUUGUUCCCCAUUGAAACUUUAGUGAGAUCUCUGGUUUCCCACAGCUUAUUUUUCCAAGUUGAGGAAGAGCAGCAAUGUUUUCUCGUAGUUGUUACUGAGAAUUUGUUAACUUUUGGUUGGUGUGAUAAAAUGCCCAAGAUUAGUAACUCAAAUCACUCACAAGAAGAAAAAUAUAUUUUACCUCAUAAUUGGAGAGUUUUGAGUACAUGGACACUUGUCAUUAUAGAAGCAGGUGGCAGAUGAAAGCUGCUAAACUCAUGGUAGCUGGGAAGCAAGGGAAUCAAAAGGCUUCUAGGGCACAUCCUCUGUGGCCCAGCUUCCUGUCACUAGGCUUCACUGCCUUAAAAGUCUAGCAGCUCAAGUAACACCACAAUGGGAUGACCAGCUUUUAGCACAUGGUUAAAACCAUAACAACAGUUAAAUGCAUGUUUAGCUAAUCAGAUUUCAAUUUUUUUCACUGUUUCCUUGACAAGUUGCCAUUUCCAUUAUUCAUUUUCAUCACUGACUCUAAGUUCAUCAGCGCUCUCUGGAAGUCAUUGCAGAAUAUUGUACAGAAGAACCCCAGGCAAUUGCUUUCCUGAUGUGGGACUAAUUAAAGGUCUGUUUAUGCUCCCCAAGAGUGAAAAAUCUUUUCACUGAAAAUUAUAAUCAGUUAUCUGGUGAGCAGCCUUCACAUUUUUCUUGUUUCUUAUUUUGCAUGCAUACAUGUACAUAUCCUCAUCUGUACAGAGAUCAGAUGAAGAUGUUGGGUAUACUCUUUGCCAUAUCCCACUCAGAGCUUUUCACUGAUUCUGAAGUCUUCUAUUUUCAUUUUUUAUUUUUAUUUUCAUCAAGUAAUGUAGCUAGCAAGCCCCAGAGAUCUCACCCUCCUUCCUAUCUCAGCUCCAUAGUGCUGGUUCCCAGGUAUGUGUGGCUUUUUACAUGGCCACUGAGAAUCUGAACCCAGGACCUCAUAUUUGUCCAAUAAGCUCCUUUACCCUCCUACAUAUAUCCCCAGGACUGUUCUCAUAUUUAACUUAAUUUUGUUUCAGCUACUACUUCAAUUCAUUAAACCCAUUUUUAAUUUUACAUUAAAAAAGAAUAUUUUUAUUGUAAAAAUCCACAUUGUCUCCUGGGUUCUAAAGUGCUGUGAAAAGUCACGAAAAUAAAAAUGGAAGCCAGCAAGGGUCCCAGGGGUGGGCCUUCACAUAUGGUAAUUCUGAUAAGCAGAAUUCUGGCUUUUGGGUUGUCUAAGUAACUCUUCCCAUUCUUUAACCAUUUGGUCUUUAAAAAACAAAAUCCAAUCGAUUUGUAGCAGAGCUGCUGAGCAAGCCUUGCGAGACACAUAGGGCUUAUCCUUCAUUGACAGCCUUCCCAGAGAGUAUUUUAACAUCUUCCUGCCUUUGCACGGGAAUGAAGUUCAGUUUGGGGUAAUCCAAUUAUGUCAGCUAUGUCAAGCCAUUCAGGUAGAGUUCACGUCAUUAUUUGCCAAUGUUUGCAACGUCCAGUAAAACAGAUUAUUGUUAUUGUUUUUGGAAGCUGAAAGAUGGCUCGAGUUAUUGAGAAGUUAGAGAAGUUUCCAAAUAUCCCGCAGUGAAGAAAGUAGGCUCAGACAGCCUGUUUUCAAGGCUUCAUGCAGUGUUACUCUGACAUCAGUGACAUUUUUGUUACAUUAUUCCCAUCUCUCCCUGGCAAUUAUGACCUUUCUUUGAGCAAAGCCAGAAGAAUGUCAAAAGGAGGACACACUGCAGAUUCUCAUGAUGUCAUCAUUGCUUGAUGAGUUUGGUGCUUGUGUGGACUCUAGAAUUUCUAUGUGGAGUAUAUUUGGUUCACUCACGCAGGGAGCUUGCUAUCUCAUUGCCCCUGGGUAGCAUGCUGCGGAUUCAGAACUUGAGCUGUGAGGCUGCUCAUGGCAAGAGUCACCAAAAGAUGACAACAAAGUUUAAUGUGCUCUUUCUAGACAGUUGAACUGCAGCAGUGGAAACACAAUGUUUAUAAUGCUCCAGUGAUGUGAAAUAAAAAUUACAAGAAAAACGA